ACUUUGCUGCAUCAAAUAUGAUGGCCCUUCUGCCGUUUCUCACUGCUUCAAACCCAAACCCACUGUUGGGUUCUUCUGUAGGGGUAGAAAUGGAGGGGAUGAAAGUUGAGGAAGCUUAUUUUAGAGGCAGGAAUUUACACGGUGCCAGGCUUCCUAUUCCAAAUGGGUGUUCUGGCAACUAUGUUAUACUGUAAGGAAUUUAAAUAUGAAACCUGUUUUUUCUUUAAAAAAAUUUAUGAUCCAAUAUGGGAAAAAAAAAUUUAUUCUCGUUGUCAUCUUGCAAUGCUUGAGAAGGUGGAACCACCCUCAGCACUCGCUUCUUGGACAGAGAAGGUGGAAGCACCUUCAGCACCCGCUGCAGGGACAGAGAAACAUGAAAACAAAUUCAUUAGCGUUGGUAAAGUCAUUAAUUAUAGGAAAAUAGGUUUCCCUAUCAUGGUCCUUAAUUAUAGGAUUACAUUUUCUUUGGAACACUUGCAAUACAAAUCACUUAUAGCGAGGUAUAGAAAGCUGCCUUUCACUGAUUUUGAAGUAAUUUGGAAUAUGGGCUAAUUGAAAACAUUCUUUAAUUUCAUUGUAAUUAACAAACAAAUUUUACUUACAGCUAGGAAUAAAGAACUGUAUUUCAUAACAAUAUAGAAUGGGGUUACGGUUG